CGCCGAGCGGGGGCCGGUCAAGCUGAGAGUUGGGACGGUAAGGACGGGGAAAUACAGCUGGUAACAAGACAAGAUCUCAGCUCUCUUGGAUCUCAAAGGUUUUUGAAGGAAACAUAAUAAUGAAGGAAACAUUUAAGAUAAUUGCAUAUAGAAAGUGCUUCAAAAAAAGAGAAGAUAAUGUUAUAAAGAAUGAUGUUAGAGGAAAAUAACAUUAAAGCUGUUUGGGGGACAUUAUGUUUAAGCUGAAAGUUGAAUAAUAAAAAGGAGCUGGCCAUAAAAAAAAAAAUGCAAGAAAAGGCCUGGUGGAGCAAACAGGUGAAGAGUGAUUUACAAACAAGUGAAACUGAUUGCUGCUAGUCAAGAGACUAGGUAACAAUGAUUCCCCAGGCAAGAACCCAGAACCUCUGACUCGUAUUUCUUCAGGUCAAGUCAUCUCUUCAUGCACCUUUGCAAAUGGUUUCAACAAAGCUUUGGGAUUAAGGCCUGAGGGAAGUAAAUUGAAAGGAUUGCCAGGCAGAAAAGUACAGAAAACAGAAUUCAGGACAAAGCUAUCUCAGAUCUGUAUCAAGCUAGAGUACUUGGGCAGACCUAGAGUGAGUUGGAAGGUGUGUGUGGGAGGGGCAGGUAAAGAAGAGCAGAAAUAGCUAGAGAAAUGGGCUUUCAAAUAAGAGGUUUGUGUUUCAUAUUGAAAGGACUGUUCAGCUAAAGAUCCAAAGGAAGAUAAGAGAAACUACUUUGCAUAAAUAAGAGCUCAGCAAGUUAACUGUCAAACAAGCAGAUCCAGGGUACACCAGCGGAAUGGGCCUGGUGUAAAAAUAACAUCUUCCCUACACUAAGCCCAUUCACAACAAUUCAGCCUCACCAGAGUUACCCACAGAGUACAAUGUCACUGUCUAUUUUGUUUGUUUCAAUACCAUGUUUGGAAAUGUCUAGACUUAUUCCAGAGUUGUCACCUGGUGGCGUUUUCACAGUUGGCUUGGGCCAUCUAGAAGGUUGAUACCAAAAAAACGUGCCUGUCUACCUUUGAUUCAGGAGAGCCUCUAAAGGACUUGAACCAGACAAGGAGAGUUUGUUAAAAAGUGGUCUCGAAAGACUAACCAUCUGCAUGUCAACAAAGUGUUUCAUUUUUACCUUUACCUUGCAAGUUUUGAACAGUUUCCACAGUAACUUCUUUGUGGCAAUUUAAAUGUGUCCGUGGUAGAAAAACAAAUGAGAAAAUAUCCCCACCCACUCCACUUCAAGAAAACGUAUUUUUCACUAAGUGAGCUGACACUUCUAGCACAAGGUUUGAAAGCAGAUGCCCAGCUGUGUUAUUUAUGUGUGAGAGCAACUGUAGACAUUGACUGCUUAUCUCCUGGCUGUCUCCUUGGUGUUCCUUCAGAGGAGUUUAUCUCAUGGUACCCAGGAAUGUCAGUCAUGGGAAGGCACUGCCCAGAUCAUUCUUCAGGAGAACCAGUUUUGAGGAGUGUGGCUGGCCAGCAGUUUCCAGUAGCCACUCUUCAGCCAUCAGCCACAGCAUUUACACUAAUGCUACACUCUUCACUGGGCUAUUCCCAGCCAGUGACUGAGCCAAGUGUGCUGGAGUCAGGCCAUUUCUCCCCAGUGCUGGACUUCUCUCCUGGACAAGCAUUGCCCUUGACUUCCCAUUGGUUUGGCCCAGAUUUCCUCAAAGUUUUACUGCAAAUGGGUGUUCUUCCUCUCCACUCUUCCUUCCUUCCUUUUCCCUCUUGACCGGUGUCAGAACUUCUUUGUGGUCUGAGAUAAUCCUCACCUACUCUUUUUCCCUUUUCCCUUUAUACUCUGUAGACCUUCCCCCCAGUAAAUCUCUUAUAUUUCUAAUUCCGUCUUUGUUUCUGCUUCCUACAGUACUGAAACUAACACAACAAGCCAGCAGUUGUACCUUGGCUCCUGUAUUUGGCCCAGUGAGUUUUGUUUUUGAUCACACCUGACUGUCCCUCUCUAGAAGUCAGGAUACUUGGUUUCUAGUUGUUAUGAGGGUUGCCACAGGAAUCCCAGGGGCACCAUUAUGUGCACUACCAUGAACUGUCAGUGGUUAAAGAGAGCAAAUUCUGGACUUAGGCAAACCUAGGCCCAAAUUUUACAUCUAUUCAGUAGCUUGGUUGUUCUGGGUAAGUCAGUUAAGCCAGUAUAGCAUAGUGAUUGUGAACUGGGACUUUAGAACCAGAUUGCCUGGGUUUGAAACUUAGUUUUGCUGCUUAAUAGCUGUGUGACCUUGGAGAAAUUAUUUGACAUCUCUGUGACUCAGUUUUCUCAUAUAAUGAGGGAAAAAUAGAAAACUACUUUAAAAGCUUUUGCAGACAAGGUAAUGUUUAAAAGAAUUUACAGAAGUUCCUAAUGCAAAGUAAGCACUCAGUAAAUGUUAGCGAUACUGCUACUACUACUAUUAUUACUACUCCUAGUAAUGUAUUAAUCUGUACAAUUUAUUCAGUAUUCAACAGGUAUUUAGUAAGCUCCUACUAUGUUCCAGGUACUGUGCUGCAUGGUAGAUAUAUAAUUGUAGAUAAAUCAGACCUGGCAAAUAAGCAAAUAGAUGUGGUAAACAUAGUAAACUCAGUGAUAUGCUAAGGAUCAGUUGAAAUAAAAUGUACAACUCACUUCACAUUGGGUCCUGCAUGUAGUAAGUGCUCACUAAAUUCUACCUCAUUAUCAUCAAAUGCCUUAUCUUAUGAGACUCUCAGCUUUUUUCCUUAUAAACUGAAGGGUUGGUCCCAUCAGAGUAUCUUAAACCUAGCUAUGUAUCAGAAAUUCCUAGACAUAUUUAAAAAUUUCAAGGUCUUGUCAUACCCCUUGAGUUCCUGAUUCAGUAAGUAUAUUAUCCCCUGUACCUUUGGUCACAAGUAACAAACUCAGAACCCUCUUAAGCUGAUCAAGGGAAUUCAUUGACAUAGGAGACUGGGGAGUUCAGAAACAGAAUUUGCCUCAGCAACUUAGCAAAUAUUGUAAGAACUCUCUCUGAUUCUCAUUUUCCUUAAUUGCAGAUAUGUUUCUCCUGGUUGGCAGGGAACAGGGCAACCACUCUGUGGAGAAUGGGUUCCAUUUUUUUUUCAGUGAGGGAACCAAGGGGGAAGAGACACUUUUGUCUUUCAUCCACUGAGUCUGGUAUCACAGGAAAUCACUCUGACUGGUCCAGUUUGGAUCAUGUGCCUAUGUCAGGGCCAAUCACCUCUAGGGAGGUGUGCAUUACAGACUUGGUAGCCCUAGGAGAACCACAUGGAGUGGGGGAAACUCUGAAGAAAGCCCUACUUUGGCAGACAAAAGCAACAGUUGUUUUUGACUGUAGUUCUAAGGUGGGGCCUAGGAAUCUGUAUUUUUAGAAAACCUCUUAAAUAAUUUUGCUAGGGUUUGGGAUGCCCUUGGUUAGAUGACACGAGGUCUUUUUCAGCUCAGACACCAUUUUUUUUUAGGGUCCAAAUUCUACAGAAGUUGGGUUGGCGAGAGAGAAGAGUGCCCUGGGGGAUAAUAGAAAAGAAGGAAGAAUCAAUGAAGUAGAUCAAAGUUAAGUGGAGUUGCAGCAUUGUGUGAGGUAAGCUGGCAGCAGGGCUAACUCUUGCUAAUUCUCUGUUCUGCUGACAGUUGGACUCUUCUUGGCUGAAACUCAAUUUCCUUUCAGGGCUGUCAGUAUAGCUCAGGUGAGCCUAUACAGAAAACCUGGUAGGUGUUUUAAAGGGAUAACACAGUCUCAGUCCUUCUGCAAGAAUGUGCAGGCACCAGCAGGAGGUGAGGCGAAGUCAGAGUGCCCAUGGAAUAAUUUCCUGCUUCCUGGGACACAAUGUCUCCUUCUGUCUCCUGUCCACAGGUGAGCCCCAGAGUGGAUGUGCUGCUCUUGGUAGCUAGGCCUCUGAAUGCUCUAUUCACAGGAAGCCAUGGUGCCCUCAGUGAAGCAGCUAGGCAGCUCGUGACUGUGGAAACCAAUCCUUCAUUGUCAAGUCAAAUUCAGGGUGAAUGGGGUAGAUGUCAGAAAGGAUAGGCUGGCUGGUUUCUGAGGCAUGGUCUUUCUAGAGAAGGUCAAGUGGCCUGAGAAAGCCCCCAAGUGUCCAGAGUUCACGUGGAGGCUCUGCUGCUUCUUGAACUCUAACCAGUUCAGUGGAAUUAUGUUCUAGAGGAAGAGCUUGCUGCAAUGGAUAUCAAAAGAGUCCGAUGGAUAGCCACUGCUCUUUGAUAAAUAGAAUGAAUGUGGCUAAAGAUGUGGAGGUUCAUUCAGCACACAGCAUUCUUUCUUGGUGGGAAAGAGCCAGCAUUCAGCAUUUACUGGGCCCCUGCAAUGUGUAGUGGGGUAAAUGUAGAUGACUGAACAUGUUAUUGCCCAAGGUGCUUAUAGUCUAUAUGAAGAUAGACAUAUAAACAAACAAAAACCACAACAGAAUAUUUAAGGAGGCGGUGUAGUGUGUUGGGGAGAGGUCAGAGCACCAGCUAGGCUAUCAGCAGGUCCUUGGUUCAUACCACAUAGCUGUGUGACAUUAGCUAAAUUAGUUGGCCUCUCAAGUCUCGGCUCCCUUGUUGGAAAAGUGGGCCUGAUAAGAGUCCCGGACUCAUAGGGUUGUUGUGAGGAGAUGACACCCUAGCAUAGUGGUGGAUACAUCACAUUAAUCAGAUCUGUUAAAUAAAAUGUUACCAUUGCUGAACUGUUUGUAUCCAGAGAUCAUGGGAGAUAUAAGAAAGGGUAUUAGAACAGGUUCAUUAAAUCUUUUAAUAAAUUUAAAUUUGGACACUUACUCCAUUGCCAAGAAUUGUACUGUGAAAAAUAGACAGAAUUCUUGUUU